CACCCAGCGACAAGCCAAAGGUGAUCUACAGCCAGCCGCCUGCGGACACGACAGACGAUGGUGACUUCAGGCAGAAGUCUUCGUUCGUUGUUUGAAUCAUUAGUGGAUUCCUCUGAGACUGUUCAUUGUGGAGAACUGAAGAGACGACUUCUUUUCAUUGAGAGCACUGCGGUUUUUAUAUUUAAAAAAAAUCAUGUUUAUUGGGAUCAUCUGUUUCUCUGCUUUUAUAUCUGAAGGGACAUUGUGAAGGGAGCUUUGCUGUACCUUAAUCCAUGCCCCGGGAGUGUGUGACGGGACAGUGUAGAGGGAGCUUCACCCUGUGUCUGACCCGUGCCCUGGGAGUGUGUGACGGGAUGGUGUAGAGGGAGCUUCACCCUGUGUCUGACCCGUGCCCUGGGAGUGUGUGACGGGAUGGUGUAGAGGGAGCUUCACCCUGUGUCUGACCCGUGCCCUGGGGAGUGUGUGACGGGACGGUGUAGAGGGAGCUUUACCCUGUGUCUGACCCGUGCCCUGGGAGUGUGUGACGGGACAGUGUAGAGGGAGCUUCACCCUGUGUCUGCCCCGUGCCCUGGGAGUGUGUGACGGGACAGUGUAGAGGGAGCUUCACCCUGUGUCUGACCCGUGCCCCGGGAGUGUGUGACGGGUCAGUGUAAAGGGGGCUUCACUCUGUGUCUGAUCCGUGCCCUGGGAGUGUGUGACGGGACAGUGUAGGGGGAGCUUCACUCUGUGUCUAACUCCUGGGGAGUUUCUCGGCAUGAGGUGUGAGAGGUUGGUUUACUCUGGAAUGGGUAUGGGGGUGUCUUGCAGUUUUGUGUGUAUGUGUGGGGGGGGGGGGGUGGGUGUGUUGGGGUAUGUCCUCCCCGUCCCCUCCUUGAGAGAGGUGAGAUAUGUUUUCACUGAUGCUGUGUCAGGCACUCCUUUCUCUCUCUCUCCCUCUCUCUCUCUCUCUCUCUCCACUCUCAGCACCCUUGUCCUGUUGGAACAAGUUAAUAAAGUGGUCCCUGUCUCUU